GUAAUAUUCCCUCCGUUUGGAAAUAUUUGUCGGAGAAAUGAAUAUAUCUUAGGCGUAUUUUAGUUUUAGAUACAUUCAUUUCUCUGACAAAUAUUUCCAUAUGGAGGGAUUAUAAG
rfam:Triticum urartu cultivar G1812 contig1150736, whole genome shotgun sequence.